rnacentral:rRNA from 1 species
GAUGAACGCUAGCGGCAGGCCUAAUACAUCCAUGUCGAACGAGAUUGUUUUAGCAAUAGAACAUGAAAGUGGCGCUCGGGUGCGUAACACGUAUGCAAUCUACCUCUAAUAGGGAAAUAGCUUCGAGAAAUCGGAAUUAAUGUCCCAUAACAUAUUUGAAUGGCAUCAUUCGAAUAUCAAACCUCCGGGGAUUAGAGAUGAGCAUGCGCAACAUUAGCUAGUUGGUAAGGUAAUGGCUUACCAAGGCUACGAUGUUUAGGGGGUCUGAGAGGAUGAUCCCCCACACUGGUACUGAGACACGGACCAGACUCCUACGGGAGGCAGCAGUAGGGAAUAUUGGUCAAUGGAGGCAACUCUGAACCAGCCAUGCCGCGUGCAGGAUGACGGCCCUCUGGGUUGUAAACUGCUUUUAUACGGGAAGAAAAAAUACUACGUGUAGUAUAUUGACGGUACCGUAAGAAUAAGGAUCGGCUAACUCCGUGCCAGCAGCCGCGGUAAUACGGAGGAUCCAAGCGUUGUCCGGAUUUAUUGGGUUUAAAGGGUGCGUAGGCGGAUCUUUAAGUCAGUGGUGAAAGCCUGCAGCUCAACUGUAGAAUUGCCAUUGAAACUGAAGAUCUUGAAUUAGGUUAAAGUAGGCGGAAUGUAUCAUGUAGCGGUGAAAUGCUUAGAUAUGAUACAGAACACCGAUAGCGAAGGCAGCUUGCUGAACCUAUAUUGACGCUGAGGCACGAAAGCGUGGGGAGCGAACAGGAUUAGAUACCCUGGUAGUCCACGCCCUAAACGUUGAUUACUCGUUGUUGGCGAUAUACAGUCAGCGACCAAGCUAAAGCGUUAAGUAAUCCACCUGAGAAGUACGACCCGCAGGNUUGAACUCAAAGGAAUUGACGGGGGCCCCGCACAGUGGAGGAGCAUGUG